AGCUGCAUAGCUCAGUGGUAGAACGCUCGACUGUCGUUCGUGAGCUCUAUGGUUCAAAUCUGGGUGCAUCCA
rnacentral:tRNA from 1 species